rnacentral:rRNA from 1 species
AGCCUGGGGGGUGCUAUACAUGCAAGUCGAACGCUUCUUUUUCCACCGGAGCUUGCUCCACCGGAAAAAGAGGAGUGGCGAACGGGUGAGUAACACGUGGGUAACCUGCCCAUCAGAAGGGGAUAACACUUGGAAACAGGUGCUAAUACCGUAUAACAAUCGAAACCGCAUGGUUUUGAUUUGAAAGGCGCUUUCGGGUGUCGCUGAUGGAUGGACCCGCGGUGCAUUAGCUAGUUGGUGAGGUAACGGCUCACCAAGGCCACGAUGCAUAGCCGACCUGAGAGGGUGAUCGGCCACAUUGGGACUGAGACACGGCCCAAACUCCUACGGGAGGCAGCAGUAGGGAAUCUUCGGCAAUGGACGAAAGUCUGACCGAGCAACGCCGCGUGAGUGAAGAAGGUUUUCGGAUCGUAAAACUCUGUUGUUAGAGAAGAACAAGGAUGAGAGUAACUGUUCAUCCCUUGACGGUAUCUAACCAGAAAGCCACGGCUAACUACGUGCCAGCAGCCGCGGUAAUACGUAGGUGGCAAGCGUUGUCCGGAUUUAUUGGGCGUAAAGCGAGCGCAGGCGGUUUCUUAAGUCUGAUGUGAAAGCCCCCGGCUCAACCGGGGAGGGUCAUUGGAAACUGGGAGACUUGAGUGCAGAAGAGGAGAGUGGAAUUCCAUGUGUAGCGGUGAAAUGCGUAGAUAUAUGGAGGAACACCAGUGGCGAAGGCGGCUCUCUGGUCUGUAACUGACGCUGAGGCUCGAAAGCGUGGGGAGCAAACAGGAUUAGAUACCCUGGUAGUCCACGCCGUAAACGAUGAGUGCUAAGUGUUGGAGGGUUUCCGCCCUUCAGUGCUGCAGCUAACGCAUUAAGCACUCCGCCUGGGGAGUACGACCGCAAGGUUGAAACUCAAAGGAAUUGACGGGGGCCCGCACAAGCGGUGGAGCAUGUGGUUUAAUUCGAAGCAACGCGAAGAACCUUACCAGGUCUUGACAUCCUUUGACCACUCUAGAGAUAGAGCUUCCCCUUCGGGGGCAAAGUGACAGGUGGUGCAUGGUUGUCGUCAGCUCGUGU